rnacentral:piRNA from 1 species
UGAUGUUAAUCUUCAAUCUGCUAGCUCAC